UUCGCGUUAGCUCAAUGGUAGAGCAUUCGACUGUUAUCCCGAUAAGAUCGGGAUGUAUGUUCGAGUCUCACACGCGGAGC
rnacentral:tRNA from 1 species